CUUUUCAGAUCAUAUGAUUGUGGUCUUCCAUGACUAGAAUAAAUAGGAAAGGUGAUAGAGGAUCACCUGUCUCAACCUCCUCUGUGAUUGGAAAAAGCCUUUUGAGUUGCCAUUUAUGAUUAGUGAAAACUUGACUUAUGCAAAAUUUUAUACAGUUGAGGCCUUUUUCUUCCAAAUCCCAUGUCCUUCAUAAUCUUCAGCAGAAAAGACCAAUUGACAUGAUCAUAGGACUUCUAUAUCCAACUUAUAAAGAAUACUCGGAGAUUUCUAUUCAACUCUGGAAUCCACCAACUCAUAGGCAAUAGGUGCAUCAUCCUCGAUUUGUCUUCCUUUCAGAAAGACCAUUUGAUGCACACCAAUCAACUUCCCCGUUACUGUCUUCAACCUCUCAGUUAUCAACUUGGAGAUAAUCUUGUAGACUCCUCUUAUCAAGUUGAUAGGCCUGAAAUCUUUCACUUCUUCAGCUCCAGCUUUCUUAGGGAGCAAUGCUAAAAAAGUAGCAUUGAAAGAUUUUUCAAAGAUUUCAUUUUGAUGGAAAUUAUGUAUUGUCAACAUCAGGUCUUCUUUUAGUAUUUUUCCCUACAAGAUUUGAGGAAGCUCAUUGUGUAACCAUCUGGGCCUGGGACUUUGCCACCAUCACAUUGUUUUAGACAUUGCAAGACCUCUGACUCAGUAAAAGGUCUUUGCAUCCAUUCUUGUUCUUCUUCCUGGGAUAUAGUUGGGCAAUCCAGGAGAUCAAAUAUAGGUCUCCAGUCUUCAGGUUCAGUGUAAAGCUUAUUGUAGAAAUUAAUCAGUGUUUCUGAUCUCUAUAGGGUCUUCAACGACCUGUCCUCUGCCCAUCAGUCUAUCAAUAGUGUUGAUCCGUUUGUGUGCUGUUGCCAUAUCCUGGAAGAGCCUUGUAUUUUUAUCUCCUCCUUUCAGCCACAACACACCGGAUUUUUGUCUCCACUUGGAUUCUUCAUGUUUUGCCAAUUCUUCCAGUUCCACAACUAUAGUGGCUCUUACCAUCAUCUCAUCUUUCAUUAGGUCUCUACUCUCCAGUAUCAAAUCAAUUUCAGCCAGUUCUUUAAGUAGCCUAUUUUUCUUCUUGAUUUGCUCUUCAAAAUUUGAUUUGCUCCAUUCCUUGAGUUUCUGCGUUAGCAUUUUUAAUUUGAUAUUGAAUCUAUAAUCUGGACAGCCUUCAAACAAGAAUUCAUUCCACCAGACCCGGUUCAAUUCAGUGAAGCCCUCCACCUUGAGCCACCGAUUUUCAAACUUAAAGUUUGACUUUUCUGCUCCCAGUUGCCACUCUCCAAUAGGAAAGGGCAGUGAUCAGAUAAAACUCUAGGUAGUAGUUUUUGUCUGAUGUUUUUGAAUUUUUAUUCCCAUUCCAUGGAGAGUAAGAAUGUAUUUAGUUGAGCUGCACUAGGAUGAUUAAUGCCUCUAAACCAAGAAAACUUUCCACCAGUUAAAUGGGGUCAUGUAAUUCCAUCUCCUCUAUCCACCUUGAGAAAUAAGAUAUAACAUAUGAGAUUCUGUUACACAUCCUCUUCUUUCUUCCAUAGUCCUGUUUGUGUUAAAAUCUCCAAAGGUAAUCAAUGGGCCAUCACAGAGUGUUUUGACUGCAGCCAAUUCAUUCCAACAUAAUAAUUUCUCAUUCUGGUAUGAGGAGCAUACACUCCGGUGAGGUAACAGGUAAAGAAAUUGUGAGUUGAUACAAAUUCAUAUAUAAUGGAGUAUUGGCCAGUUUCAACUAGAGUCUCGCUCCAACUUCUACUAUCCCACAGCAUAAGGAUUCCCCCACAAAUGUUUGGCCAUAGCUUCUACUUCCUUGCUUAUCUUUGUUUCUUGAAAACAAUACACAUCAGCCUUCCAUUGUUGCAUUAGACUCUUCAUCAAUGUUCUCUUGUUUUGGUUGUUUAGCCCCCUUACGUUCCUGGUGGUCAAGUUAGUUUUCAUUUAAAUUUUAGACUUAGAUUUCUCCCUCUGCUUCUAUUAUCCUCUACUUCUUCAUUUAAACAACAACAACAACAACAUACCCAGUGAAAUUCCACAAGUGCGGUGUGGGGAGGGUAGGACACCAUUCUAUUUCUACUAGCCUUUUAUCCUAAUCUGCGACCCCUUUCUAUCUAAGGUCAUGUCCUCGUUGGUAUGAAGUAGCGCCAUAUCUUGUCUAAUCAACUCUCUCCAAUACUUUUUCGGUCUAUCCCUACCUCUUCAUUUAAACUGGAUUUUAAAAUUUUGAAUUCAUUUUUCCAAAUUCCUCUGCUCUUUGGCGUUGUACUUGCCUUCCUCCUCCCCUUCUUGUUUAGUUGUGUUUUCCUCUCAUCAAUCUUCAUCAACAAGGCUAUGUUUUCUUUUUCAAAACCUUCAAAAGCCACCCCUUAUGUGUUGCUCAGUUCUAGGAUAUGUGAAUUAACCCAGUUUGAUGAUUCUGUCUCAUUCUCUUCUUCAGAAUUUGGGAGCUUAAUGUUUACUGGUUCUGUGUCAUGGAUCUGUUGCAGCUGCAUGUUUUCUUCUGUUGCUAGAGUAUCGCCGUUCUGUCUCCUUUUCCUUCCUUGUCGUGUUCAAAUUCCUGUGGACGACCUUCUUGAGACACGGUCUGACUGCAGCAGAUAUUUCUCUCUGGCUGCAGCAGAUAUUUCUCUCUUCCCCUUCACUUUGUAUCUUCGUGUUCUUUUCUUUCGCAACAGAUGUUUCCCAAUUUCUGAAUGCUUCCAGAAACUUGGCCGCCAGUUCUUUUAACUCUAAAAGGUUAAGUGCUCUGGUGGUUAAGAGAAAUCUGGCCCAAAUUAGUCUCUGACUUUGAAUCAUAAGUUGGUCCAGCUGCUUUACCAUUUUCCCCUCCGCAUGUGGUCUAGUGCUUACACUUCCACCUGCCUCUCUAUUAACUCCUGGGUACUUCCUCGAGAACUGCUGGUUAAUAGUUUUCUCCCUUUCUUCUUCUAUGAUACAGUACCUCCCCGGAAUCUCUGUCCAUAACUACAUGGAGCAAGGAAUUCCGGCGUCCUGUAUGGUCACCUCCUUUGGAAUUCUCGAUCCAUCACCUACGACUCUGUUUCUAGCCCACUUGAGAUGAUUUCGUAAUUGUGUCUCCACAGAGGACUCCAAUGGCCUUGAAAUUUAUCUGCGACCACAGGUGUAAGGGGAGCCCAAUGAUCUUGGUCCAGGUGGAACUCGGGCUGUUCUCCAUAUUUGUGGCCCCUAUUAUCGGAGUCCACCAAUCAAGCAUUACGUUUGAGUUAUUCCAGACCCAAUUGUCAGUGAUCACCUGUUCUGCCAUGUUUCUAGUCGCAAAUUCGAACAAGAACUUCCUAGUCCCCAUCUUGUAUAUUCAAUCCGUGGCUUUGUCUCUAAAGAUUGCUUGCCCAUCUCCUCACCCCCGAUAGGGUUGGCAUCGUCAUGUUCCUUCAAAAUUCCCCACCAGACUUCUCUGCAGAACUUCAUUUUGGCUGUACGAGGAGUCAUUAAUGUAAAUGGUUUCAGCCUCCUUCAUUAAUGUUGGUCGAGCAUUAACUCCAUUCCUUUUCCUAUUACUCCAUUUAAUGCUCUUCACUGCCUUUGCGAAAGGAAUAUUACUAUCCACUAGCCUCUGUUUUAUAUUAAUCUCCUCCCUUCUGUGACUAGAGAGGAAUCUCCCCAUUUUGUCCGCUAUAUGGUCCCAUCCUGAAUUGAACGCUGACUCUGGGAUUGGGUUUAAACACAAAGUUUUUAUAUUUGGCAUAGUCUUUUUUCUUGUCGGAAAAGGUUUAUGAUUCUAUAAAUAGAGGCUCAUUUCUUCUAAACAUAGUAGCAUUUACAAUGUAAUCAUAAGAGCUUUGAGAGUUUUGUGUGGGAGGAGAAACACAAGUGAUAUGUUAUCACUUGUGUGAAUCUGUUAUUUCUCUCGAUAUUUAUUGUGGAUUGCUCAUCUCCUUGUAGGUACAUGCUCAAACAGGUGAUGAUAAUAUCUGCCCUCUGGGAUCAGCUGUGGCAGCCAAUUCAUUGCCUUGCGUGGAGCUGUUAGUAAAGGCAGGGGCUAAUUCAAUGUUAAGACUGGUGAAGCAACUAGGUAUGGUGAAACAACUCCUUUGCUCAUUGCUGCUCAUAAUGGUAAUGCAGAAAUUGUUAACUGCUUACUACAAGCUGGAGCUGAUCCUAAUGUCGCCGAUGAGGAUGGUAAUAAGCCAAUACAUGUUGCAGCUACAAGAGGCAAUCGAGCGGCUGUUGAAGCUUUAUUGGCCGUCACACCACAGAUUCAGAGUGUUCCUGAAUGGAGUGUGGAUGGAGUCAUUGAGUUUAUGCAAUCUGAAUAUAGGAGAAAGCAGCAGGAAAGAACAGAAGCUGGGGGGAAGCAAACUAUGGCCCUAUUCUUAGAUCUCUACUUACAAGGCUGAAGGAUGACUUCAAGAGCUUGAAGCAAAGAGAACGUAUUAUUCCAAAGAAAGAUUUACCUGAGGUCUGUUAUUGGUGGUCACUGUUUUCGAUUUUAUGUGUAUUUUGGGUCAUUUUGUUAUCAAAUUGUACGUGAAAGUAUU